rnacentral:rRNA from 1 species
AGGGUUCGAUUCUGGCUCAGGAUGAACGCUAGCUACAGGCUUAACACAUGCAAGUCGAGGGGCAGCAUUGAGAUAGCUUGCUAUUCAGAUGGCGACCGGCGCACGGGUGAGUAACGCGUAUCCAACCUUCCCCUUAGUAGGACAUAGCCCGUAGAAAUGCGGAUUAAUACCCUAUGUUGUAUAUUGAGGACAUCUGAUUUAUACCAAAGGUUUACCGCUAAGGGAUGGGGAUGCGUCUGAUUAGGUAGUAGGCGGGGUAACGGCCCACCUAGCCGACGAUCAGUAGGGGUUCUGAGAGGAAGGUCCCCCACAUUGGAACUGAGACACGGUCCAAACUCCUACGGGAGGCAGCAGUGAGGAAUAUUGGUCAAUGGACGGAAGUCUGAACCAGCCAAGUAAGCGUGCAGGAUGACGGCCCUAUGGGUUGUAAACUGCUUUUAUAUAGGGAUAAAGUCGGGGACGUGUCCCCGUUUGUAGGUACUAUAUGAAUAAGGACCGGCUAAUUCCGUGCCAGCCGCCGC